GCACAGCUACUACUCCAAUAUCCGAGGCAUCAACUACAAGUUGAUGGGUUGUCACUUGAGCAUGGGAGCCUUCAUUCCAAUAUUAUAUCUUUAUAGAUAGAUGCUUUGUGUGAAGGGAUGGCAGAGCCAGGCGGCAUGUUGGAAGAGUGCAGUGGCCGAGAAGGGACGUAAAGAGCAAAGCGACAUGACCGAGAGACAGCAGCAACAAGGACAGCUGAGAGUGAUCCAGCUGCAGUCUACUCAGGAGAUGUCAGUUAUGGACAAAUAGCUGUCAGGCCACACAAGACGAGAGAGUUUCCAGUAGAGACAGAGGUCGUCUACUCUUCACUGAGGUAGACCUUCACACCUUCAUACCAGUCCAACCACUGAUGUCCUGCUGGCCUGGAACUGGUCCCCAGAGCCCCUCACACCUCAGCACAUCCAUUUAUUAUAUAAAUAAAUUGUUAAAAUCCUGUUUUUUUUUACCCUGUAAGUGUUUCAGUACUUUCCACAGAACCAACAUGUUACCUGUUGUCAUUCAUAUAUUUCUACUGAACACAAACUAAUAAUAAACUCCAGUUGUUUUGGGGGCAAUGUAAUAACUUUACUUUUAUUUACUGUAUAUUUUAUUAAUGUUUUUGUUUCUUGUUGCAGCAGCAACUUCUUUCUCUGCAGGACCAGUAAACUUUGGUCUCGUUCUUA